rnacentral:rRNA from 1 species
CCCGAGUUGUAAUUUGCAGAGGUGGCUUCGGAGCCGCACCGGCCUAAGUUCCUUGGAACAGGACGUCACAGAGGGUGAGAAUCCCGUACGUGGCUAGGUGCCUAUCCAUGUGUAGCCCCUUCGAC